rnacentral:lncRNA from 1 species
GCCACACACUCAUAUAUCUUACUUUUUUAUACUUUUGUUCUCUGGUAGUGAGUUAUCUUUGAUUAGUAUCUUUCUGUUUUGAAUUUUCCUCGGAGUUCAGUAUUUUUGUGAUUUUACUUUUCAGCAAUCAUAUCACAUUUCUUUAUUUUUAUAUAAUGUUAGUUGAAAUCCAAUACGUUACUGAAAUUUGGGGCAACACAUUG